UACGUAGGGACCAAGCGUUGUUCGGAUUUACUGGGCGUAAAGGGCGCGUAGGCGGCGCGGUAAGUCACUUGUGAAAUCUCUGAGCUUAAAUCAGAACGGCCAAGUGAUACUGCAGUGCUAGAGUGUGGAAGGGGCAAUCGGAAUUCUUGGUGUAGCGGUGAAAUGCGUAGAUAUCAAGAGGAACACCUGAGGUGAAGACGGGUUGCUGGGCCAACACUGACGCUGAGGCGCGAAAGCCAGGGGAGCAAACGGG
rnacentral:rRNA from 1 species